GAGGUGUUUCCUGGCAAGGCAGACAAUGAACUUCUCCAGCCGGUAGGGUGCGCCCCUUAACUUCCGGUGUGAGUACGAGGAAUAAAUUCGGGUCCUGAUGAAGCGGAAGGAGAGGCUGCUCUGGGAGGAGCAAACCUUGAGGGAUUGUUCUGAGAACGGCGGAAUCAGGCCCCAGGUGCUACAGAGCAUCCACGCUUUGCAGAGAAAGCCAGUUCCCAGGACUUCUGGGGUUCUACCGGCCAGCACCUGGGUGCUGCUGGUGCGACGCCUCCCAGACUUCUCUGUAAGUUUUCUGGCUGACACCACCCAUCACGCAAACCCCAAUGCUUUUGCGUACCUUGCCCCACCUCAGAGUCAUAGUGUGGUGGAGCAAUGCCUGAGAGGCUCCGGCCAGCUGUGGGGACGGCUCCAGCCAGCUGUGGGGACGGCUCCAGCCUAAAAACGGCUGGAAAGGGACCCCUGGAGGGACCCCUGGAGGUUAGACUGCGGGCAUGAACUGCGCAUUCCUGGGCUGCAAAGCCUUAGCGUUUCAGGACACCAAAGUUCCUUGGCGGCAAAACAGUUUCCUGCCUUAGCAACCCAAAGGCACCAACUCAUUUUCCUCGGGUGCAGCAGUUUCUUCUGGCAGAUUCGAGGUGUCUAAAAUUCAUCUCGUGAGAAUAUAGCUGCCUGUUCGUGGAGCCUUUCACGUGAAGAGCAGCCUCAGGACAUUAUUCUCUUUCCUAUGCAGCGCACCUUUACCGCACUAUUCACAGUAGCAAAAAGGUAGAAACAGCCUAAAUGUCCAUCAGUGGAUGAAAGGAUAAACCAGUUGUGGUAUAUGGAAAUAAUUGGAAUAUUAUUGAUGUUCUACCUGGAAACGUCUAGCAUAUUCUUUCAAAAAUAGUCCUUCCUGACCUCAAGUCCUGAAUCUCCUCUCCAUGAAAAUCUAUUUGUUGCCGUCUUCCCAAGAUCUCGGUGGAGAAGAAAGAAGGAUCCUCUCUGGGAGACAGCCAAGUCUACUUUCUCAUCCUUUCCCUGUCAUUCACUGAAGACUGGUUAGUAGAUUUGAAUUUGAACCAAAAGUGUGAGAAAUGCUAUUGGAGGAUGUGAGAGAACCCACUCAGCUCUAUAACCUGGAUUGCAAUUCACUUGGAGUCUGGUAAAGCUAUAGAAGCGGAAAUCUAAAAGGAGAAAGGAACACUUCAGGCGCAGGGAAUUUCUCCAUUGGAAACUGAAGCCUAUUUCUGUUAUAUGACUGCAGGGACGCCAUUUACACCAUGUUUAUGACAAUACUGGUAUUGUGAAGUAGAACAUCUUUGACAUACGUUAAGAAAUGGUAACUGAUAAUGUUAAGUACAUCUAUAUGUGUAUGUGUUAAAAAGGGAAAUUAAACAGUAAUUUAAAAUAAAAAUAUUGAGUAUACAACUUAAUUCAAGCAUUUCUUUCUGUUAGUUUUCAUUACUAAAGUUAGACUGGAAAUUCUAAACCCAAACCACUUCUUAUCUGUUAUAUUAUACAUGAUUAACAGUCAUUCAAUAUAAUCUCAAUGUCAGAAUAAUAGGUCAAAUAUAAACUGUUGUUUCAGGCUCGGAUUAGAAAUAGAAUCUGUCUCCAUCUUGUAAACUCCUUCCUUUGUAUGAGGAUAUAUUAUGUGAUCAAUAUUAUAAAUCCAGUUCCUAAAAUAAUUUGAUUCUUUCUCUAUUUAGCUGUUAAUGUCAGAAUUGAUUAAAUUGAGAGUACAAAAUUAUGGGUGUUUACUGAAAGCUCCAACUAAAGGUCAAUGGGGAAAUUAAGGCAAGACUUUUUAGUAAUGUAAAUACUGAUAUUUCACUAUAAUGAAAAACCUGUGGUAGUCUCAGAAUUUCUUACUGCAUUUUGUAACAUUUAUUUAAGAGUAUUCACUAAACUGAUGAGGAGGUUAGCUUGACACAGAAAAAGGAAAAAAAAACACCUUUUUUAAAUAAAAAAAUAUACUUUAUUCUCAUGCCAACAUUACAAUAACAUAACUUUUUAAGUUUAUUUAUUUAUUUUGAGAGAGAGAGCAGGG